UACGUAGGGGGCAAGCGUUGUCCGGAAUUAUUGGGCGUAAAGCGCGCGCAGGAGGUUAAUUAAGUUGGGUGUUUAAGCCCGGGGCUCAACCCCGGUUCGCAUCCAAAACUGGUUGACUUGAGUGUAGGAGAGGAAAGUGGAAUUCCACGUGUAGCGGUGAAAUGCGUAGAGAUGUAGAGGAACACCAGUGGCGAAGGCGACUUUCUGGCCUAUAACUGACGCUGAGGCGCGAAAGCGUGGGGAGCGAACAGG
rnacentral:rRNA from 1 species